ACGCUCGACACCUACGGGGAGGCAGCAGUGGGGAAUAUUGCACAAUGGGGGAAACCCUGAUGCAGCGACGCCGCGUGGAGGAAGAAGGUCUUCGGAUUGUAAACUCCUGUUGUUGGGGAAAAAGAGGAUGGUACCCAACAAGGAAGUGACGGCUAACUACGUGCCUGCAGCCGCGGUAAUCUGAGGCGGGCUGGCAAGGC
rnacentral:rRNA from 1 species